rnacentral:rRNA from 1 species
UACGAAGGGGGCUAGCGUUGUUCGGAAUUACUGGGCGUAAAGCGCGCGUAGGCGGUUUUGCAAGCCAGAGGUGAAAUGCCUGAGCUCAACUCAGGAAUGGCCUUUGGGACUGCGAGGCUUUGAGGACUGGAGAGGUGAGUGGAAUUCCCAGUGUAGAGGUGAAAUUCGUAGAUAUUGGGAAGAACACCGGUGGCGAAGGCGGCUCACUGGCCAGUUUCUGACGCUGUAGCGCGAAAGGCGUGGGGAUCAAACAGG